rnacentral:rRNA from 1 species
CAAUAGCGUAUAUUUAAGUUGCUGCAGUUAAAAAGCUCGUAGUUGGAUUUCGGGUGGGAAUGGCCGGUCCGCCGUUUCGGUGUGCACUUGCUACGCCCACCUUGCUGCCGGGGACGUGCUCUUGAGUUCACGCUCGGGACACGGAGUCGGCGAGGUUACUUUGAGUAAAUUAGAGUGUUCAAAGCAGGCCUACGCUCUGAAUACAUUAGCAUGGAAUAACACGAUAGGACUCUGGCCUAUCUUGUUGGUCUGUAGGACCGGAGUAAUGAUUAAGAGGGACAGUCGGGGGCAUCCGUAUUUCAUUGUCAGAGGUGAAAUUCUUGGAUUUAUGAAAGACGAACUACUGCGAAAGCAUUUGCCAAGGAUGUUUUCAUUAA